rnacentral:rRNA from 1 species
UAGAGUUUGAUCAUGGCUCAGGAUGAACGCUGGUGGUGUGUCUUAGGUAUGCAAGUCGUACGGUCCGAUUUAUCGGACAGUGGCAGACGGGUGAGUAACGCGUAGGAAUCUACCCCAAAGUUAAGGAUAACCCCAGGAAACUGGGGCUAAUACUGGAUAGUCUUCAAGUUUGUCUUGAAGUAAAGUCUUCGGACGCUUUGGGAGGAGCCUGCGUCCCAUCAGCUUGUUGGUAGGGUAAUGGCCUACCAAGGCAGACGGGUAGGGGGCGUGUGAGCGCGGUCCCCCACAAGGUCACUGAAACACGGGGCCUACAUCUACGGAUGGCAGCAACCGAGAAUCUUGCGCAAUGGGCGAAAGCCUGACGCAGCGACACCGCGUGUGGGAAGAAUGCCUUCGGGUUGUAAACCACUUUUUUGGAGGAACAAUUUUGAGGGUACUCCAAGAAUAAGCACCUGCUAACUUCGUGCCAGCAGCCGCGGUAAAACGGAGGGUGCGAGCGUUAUCCGGAUUUAUUGGGCGUAGAGGGUUCGUAGGCGGUUUAGUAAGUAUGUUGUCAAAGUUCACUGCUUAACGGUGAAAAUGCAACGUAUACUGCUAAACUAGGAGGUUGUUGGGAGUGCUGGAAUUCCCGGUGGAGGGGUGAAAUCCGUGGAGAUCGGGAGGAACACCAAGGGCGAAAGCAGGCACUUAAGCAAUUCUUGACGCUGAGGAACGAAAGCUAGGGUAGCAAAAGGGAUUAGAGACCCCUGUAGUCUUAGCUGUAAACAUUGCUUGCUAGCUGUUCCGCUUUGGGCGGAGUGGCGUAAGUUAACGCGUUAAGCAAGCCGCCUGGGAAGUAUGACCGCAAGGUUAAAACUCAAAGGAAUUGGCGGGGGAGCGUACAACCAGUGGAGCAUGUGGUUUAAUUCGACACAAAGCGUAGAACCUUACCUGGGUUUGACAUGUACCUGCAAGCUCUUGAAAGAGAGUCGCUUUCGAAGGUGGUACACAGCUGCUGCAUGGCCGUCGUCAGUUCGUGUCGUGAGACGUUCUCUUAAGUGAGGCAACGAACGUAACUCUUGUCCUAUGUUGUAUUUCAUGGGAGACUGCCUCAGUAUAUACUGGGGAGAAAGGAGAGAAUAACGUCAGGUCAGCAUGGUGCUUAUAUCCAGGGCGACACACAUCCUACAAUGGGUGCUACAACGGGUUUGCGAUGUCGUGAGGCGGAGCUAAUCCCUAAAAAGCACUCUUAGUCCGGAUUGCAGGCUGCAACUCGCCUGCAUGAAGUUGGAAUUGGUAGUAAUCGCGGGUCAUCAGACCGCGGUGAAUACGUUCUCGCUCCUUGCACACACUGCCCGUCAACCGAGGAGAGUUGGGGGCGCCCGAAGUUCCACAUUUGUGGGCCUAAGGCGAACUCAGCAAUCAGCAGUAAGUCGUAACAAGGUA